GUUUUGAGAGGUUACCUUGCGGUUUUCUGAGCAGGUGGUUUGUUCCACCUUUUUCUACACAUGAUCUCCACGUCUACGGUUACAGACGGUUUUCACACUUCCUUCCGAAUCCCACUCCCACGUUCUGCCUCUACACUUCUUUAUAUAUCACUUUGCAAUCCCGAUUGGAACUCCUCUCACUCUAAUCAUAGAUAACCCUAACCAUCACCACUGACAAUCAUCGCACAACCACCACCGCAACGAGGGGAACGGGCCGGCAACCAUCACACCACCACUCCGAUGACGGCCGCACUAGCGGCGAACUAUCAGCACUCGAUUGUCACAUCACUCCUCUCUGCGAUCGUUUUCAAUCGGAAGGUUUAAUGACGGAUUGUUAUCGAAUGUAAUCGUGAUGGCUAAUACUGUUUGUUGAAAUUAAGGAAGCACUUGAGUUGCUAGAGGAACUGGAUGAAGCAUUGGGACUGCAAAAACUUGUGGAAGCAUUGCAAGUUAGGAUCACUAGGUUUACAUUUGAAGGAAAAUCACAAGAGUUCUAUGGAGGCUGCAAGAAGUUCUAAGUAUUAAGGCGAGGCAAUUAGCGGCUUCUAGUCUCUGGUGUCUCCUUUUUCAAUUGGAUUUUAAAGUAAUUGACAGUGAUGCUUCCGAUUUAAAUCAUAAUUGUGCAGUUCUGAUAAGAGUAAAUUUCAUUUGUGCUGCAAGGUAAUGGAAAUAUGAUAAAAUUGUUACCUGUUGGUUAUAUGAGUCAACGUCAUAGUCAAAGCUCCUACUCCUCUCAUGAUUUCCCUAACUCAAAAGGAGAAGGUGUCAUGGGUUUCCAAUGAAGGUGGUUAGCUUGGUAUUUCACAUUUUCACUCAUUCCAUGAAGAGCUUUGUUAACCCAGUCAAUUUGUUGUUGCUUGCAGUUAAAAGGGAUGUAUCGAAUGGUAAAGACAACUGAUCGGGCACCGGCUUCUUCAGUUAACUAGGGCAGUUUAUCUUUACGAAAACUCUUCAUCCGGGGAUAAUUCUGAUGAUAUGCUAUCUGACAUUCGUAACCCAAGAACCAAAGAACGAUCAGCUGAAAAAUAGAGGAAGGUCUAGAGUUUACCAGGAGAAAUAUUAUCAGUAUAGUCUAUGGAGCAAUUCUUCAAGGUGAAAACUUUGUUUUAUUUGUUUAUACUUUUGUUUUCAUUUUAAGAUACUUGACGAAACAUUUUUUUAUAAAAUAAAUGGUACAUAGUAAACUCCACAAGCUAAACCUCUUCCCCUCACCCACAAAAAAAAAAAAAAAAAAAAAAAAAAAAAACUUUUUAUGUGGCCAUAAAAGAAAAGAUUUGAUUAUUAAAAUUCAACUUUAGCCGAAACAAUUAAAAAAAGGCCGUUAUAACCAAUCAUUUAAACAAAUGUGGCGACAAGCAGCGAGAUAAGAAUCAUUGUGUUAAUUGGCCGUUGAAUUUAUUUACUUUUUUGAGUAAUCAUUGUUUGGAUUCAUAACAUAUUAUUGAUCAUCUAUAGAAAAUAAUGUUUUGCUAUCUCUUUUCCAUGAAACGAAGGGUUUGCCAACAUUCCCCAUGGUUUGACUACUUAUGACAGUUUCAUACGGACCCAUAGCAAAUCUUCUUCCUUUUUUAGUUUUUAGCGUAGUUUUUUUUUAAUAUAAACAUCCUUAACAAAUGUUUGUUACAUCCUUACCAAACUUGAGGGUUGGGCAUCAGGCAUCAAGCCAAUGGGUUGAAAAGACCCCCCCCCCCCCCCCCCCGGGUCAAAGAGGACGAUCCAAAAGUCAAAAAAACGAGACGGUAAACCAUGUUUGAAUGCUAUUACACUUUCCGCUCAUGUUCUUGUAUGUUACCAUGCAUAUGUUUUGCCUUCUAUUUACUUUUGCAUUAAAAUGACACCAUUUCAUGUUUUAGUACUCUUAUCAGUUUUAUUUUCUAACAUUUUGUGGUUGUAAACUGUUGACGUUCACUUUCCUUUUAUAGAUUAAAAUGGUGCUUUUGUUU
rnacentral:lncRNA from 1 species